UUCUAAUAUAGCCAUGGCAAGAAAACCCUCCAAAUAUUAAUGAUUAACCUGUUGAAUUGGAGAUAGUUCACCUCCCAAUGACUUCAUAAAUAUCUGUUUCAAUUACCUCUGGUAAAUGAAAUACCCAAUCAUUCAUUUUCUGAUAUAGCUGUAAAACUAUUCUGAACAGUUUUCAAAAAUAAAUCACUUUAAAAAUGUAUAGUGUGUACCUUCUAAAAAUGAAACCUACAACUAUCUCUGAGUUGUGAAGAAUAUGUAUGAAGGUUAUAACCACCAACAAGACUGCACUUUUAUGUAGAAAUCCAUGAUUAAAUAUAGAGUCUUCCUGACUAGUAAUUUAAAUCAAUUUGAUUUAAAUCAAAUCCACCAUGGAAUUUGCGGUGUGGGCUUGCCAGAUGCAC